rnacentral:rRNA from 1 species
CUCGGAGAUGUGUAUAAGAGACAGGUCAAUAAGUUAGGUGAAGCAGCUGGAAUACUGCACCAAAGAGAGUGAAAGUCUCGUAUUCGAAAACUAUUAUAGCUUUAAAUUGUAUCCCAAGUAGGAAGGGACACGUGAAACCCCUUUUGAAUUUGCGAGGACCACCUCGUAAGACUAAAUAUUCCUGAAUAACCGAUAGUGAACCAGUACCGUGAGGGAAAGGUGAAAAGAACCCCGGGAGGGGAGUGAAAUAGAACAUGAAAUCGUAAGUUUACAAGCAGUAGAAGAGCGACUUAACGCUCGACUUCGUGCCUGUUGAAGAAUGAGCUGGCGACUUGUAGGUUGUGGCAAGGUUAAGAUAAGAGAAUAUCGGAGCCAUAGUGAAAGCGAGCCUGAUAAGGGCUUUAAGUCAUAAUUUACAGACCCGAACCCGGAUGAUCUAACCAUGGCCAGUGUGAAGCUUAGGUAACACUAAGUGGAGGUACCAACCGACUGUUGUUGAAAAAACAGCGGAUGAGUUGUGGUUAGGGGUGAAAUUCCAAUCGAAUCCGGAGCUAGCUGGAUCUCCCCGAAAUGCGUUGAGGCGCAGCGGUUAAUGUUUCUUCUUAGGGGUAAAGCUACUGUUUUGGUGCGGGCUGCGAGAGCGGUACCAAAUCAAGGCAAACUCUGAAUACUAAGACGUUUAGUUAACCAGUGAGACAUUGGGGGAUAAGCUUCAGUGUCAAGAGGGAAACAGCCCAGAUUACUAGCUAAGGCCCCUAAAUAAUUACUAAGUGGUAAAGGAGGUGGGAUUGCAGAGACAAUCAGGAGGUUUGCCCAGAAGCAGCAAUCCUUUAAAGAGUGCGUAAUAGCUCACUGUUCGAGUGAUCCUGCGCCGAAAAUGACUGGGACUAAGUAAUUUGCCGAAGCUGUAAGAUGUCAAAACAUCGGUAGGGGAGCGUUCUACAUUAGUUUGAAGCGUUAACGAAAGUGGGCGUGGACGAAGUAGAAGUGAGAAUGUUAGCUUGAGUAGCGAAAACAUUGGUGAGAAUCCAAUGCCCCGAAAACCUAAGGGUUCCUCCGGAAGGCUCGUCCGCGGAGGGUGAGUCAGGUCCUAAGGUCAGGCUGAAAAGCGUAGUCGAUGGAUAACAGGUUAAUAUUCCUGUACUGUUUAUUGUUGGUAAAGGGGGACGGAGAAGGCUAGGUCGACCGAAUGUUGGUUAUCGGCUUAAGUAUUCGAGGUGUUGAGAAGCGGUGAAAACGCUUUGAGCUGAGAUAUGAAUAGGAGGUGCUAAGGCACUGAACCGACUGAUGUCAUACUUCCAAGAAAAGCCCUAACUACCAUAAACAAUAAAUACCUGUACCCUAAACCGACACAGGUGGGUAAGUAGAGUAUACUAAGGGGCGCGAGAUAACUCUCUCUAAGGAACUCGGCAAAAUAGCCUCGUAACUUCGGGAGAAGAGGUACCCUUUAUGGGUUGCAAGAACCAGACGCUGGCGACUGUUUACCAAAAACACAGGUCUCCGCAAAGUCGUAAGACGAUAUAUGGGGGCUGACACCUGCCCAGUGCCGGAAGGUUAAGGAAGCUUGUUAGUCUUUGACGAAGCUCGCGACCGAAGCCCCGGUGAACGGCGGCCGUAACUAUAACGGUCCUAAGGUAGCGAAAUUCCUUGUCGGGUAAGUUCCGACCCGCACGAAAGGCGUAACGAUCAGGGUACUGUCUCGGAGAGAGGCUCGGCGAAAUAGACAUGUCUGUGAAGAUGCGGACUACCUGCACCUGGACAGAAAGACCCUAUGAAGCUUUACUGUAUCUUGGAAUUGGGUUUGGUCUUUACUUGCGCAGGAUAGGUGGGAGGCUUUGAAGAUGAUCUUGCGGGAUCGUUGGAGCCACUGGUGAGAUACCACUCUUGUAAUGAUAAAAUCCUAACUUUGAACCGUUAUCCGGUCAGAGAACAGUUUCAGGUGGGCAGUUUGACUGGGGCGGUCGCCUCCUAAAAGGUAACGGAGGCGUGCAAAGGUUCCCUCAGGCUGGUUGGACAUCAGUCGUAGAGUGUAAAGGCAUAAGGGAGCUUGACUGCGAGACCAACAAGUCGAGCAGAGACGAAAGUCGGCCUUAGUGAUCCGGCGCUUCCGAGUGGAAGGGGCGUCGCUCAACGGAUAAAAGUUACUCUAGGGAUAACCUGUCUCUUAUACACAUCUCCGAGCCCACGAGACCGUACUAGAUCUC